rnacentral:rRNA from 1 species
GCCUACGGGACGCAGCAGUGGGGAAUAUUGGACAAUGGGGGGAACCCUGAUCCAGCGACGCCGCGUGAGUGAAGAAGUAUUUCGGUAUGUAAAGCUCUAUCCGCAGGGAAGAAAGAAAUGACGGUACCUGACUAAGAAGCCCCGGCUAACUACGUGCCAGCAGCCGCGGUAAUACGUAGGGGGCAAGCGUUAUCCGGAUUUAUUGGGUUUAAAGGGUGCGUAGGCGGUCCGUUAAGUCAGCGGUAAAAUUGCGGGGCUCAACCCCGUCGAGCCGUUGAAACUGGCAGGCUUGAGUUGGUGAGAAG